rnacentral:rRNA from 1 species
UUUUCCUACGGGAGGCAGCAGUGAGGAAUAUUGGUCAAUGGUCGGGAGACUGAACCAGCCAAGCCGCGUGAGGGAUGAAGGUACAGAGUAUCGUAAACCUCUUUUGUCAGGGAACAAAGGCGGGGACGUGUCCCCGGAUGAGUGUACCUGAAGAAAAAGCAUCGGCUAACUCCGUGCCAGCAGCCGCGGUAAUACGGAGGAUGCGAGCGUUAUCCGGAUUUAUUUGGUUUAAAGGGUGCGCAGGCGGUCUGUUAAGUCAGCGGUCAAACCCCGGGGGUCAACCCCCGCCCGCCGU